UGCCUGGAAACCCUAUUGGACUAGGACUGG
rnacentral:piRNA from 1 species